rnacentral:rRNA from 1 species
AUGAACGCUGGCGGCGUGCCUAAUACAUGCAAGUCGAGCGAACGGACGAGAAGCUUGCUUCUCUGAUGUUAGCGGCGGACGGGUGAGUAACACGUGGAUAACCUACCUAUAAGACUGGGAUAACUUCGGGAAACCGUAGCUAAUACCGGAUAAUAUUUUGAACCGCAUGGUUCAAAAGUGAAAGACGGUCUUGCUGUCACUUAUAGAUGGAUCCGCGCUGCAUUAGCUAGUUGGUAAGGUAACGGCUUACCAAGGCAACGAUGCAUAGCCGACCUGAGAGGGUGAUCGGCCACACUGGAACUGAGACACGGUCCAGACUCCUACGGGAGGCAACAGUAGGGAAUCUUCCGCAAUGGGCGAAAGCCUGACGGAGCAACGCCGCGUGAGUGAUGAAGGUCUUCGGAUCGUAAAACUCUGUUAUUAGGGAAGAACAUAUGUGUAAGUAACUGUGCACAUCUUGACGGUACCUAAUCAGAAAGCCACGGCUAACUACGUG